rnacentral:rRNA from 1 species
UACGUAGGGGGCAAGCGUUGUCCGGAUUUAUUGGGCGUAAAGAGCGUGUAGGCGGCUUUACAGGUCCGUUGUGAAAACUCGAGGCUCAACCUCGAGACGCCGGUGGAAACCGUAAAGCUAGAGUCCGGAAGAGGAGAGUGGAAUUCCUGGUGUAGCGGUGAAAUGCGCAGAUAUCGGGAGGAACACCAAUGGCGAAGGCAGCUCGCUGGGACGGUACUGACGCUGAGGCGCGAAAGCGUGGGGAGCAAACAGG